rnacentral:lncRNA from 1 species
GGGCUCCGCACCACUACACUUCCUGGCCUGCAGGAAUAUUUGCCAGGUCAUGAGGAAUAAGGUUGCUAUUUUCUUAAAAUUUACCCUCAUUAUUUUGUAUAGUGUACGGAUACCAUGUACAGCUUAAGCACUCAAGCUUGCAAAUAACUAUGCACGUGUACAAUUCUAUGUUUUUUUCUGAAACCCAAUUUAGGUAAAUUGAAUGAGUCACGUGGUGAAAGUAAAGCUUAUGUAUGCAGAACUGCACUGCAUAUCCGAUGGUUUAUGCCUCAAUUUAUGGUUACUCCACUUCUGAAUGUGAAAAUUUACUUUCAGACUAAGAUCCUUCAGGGUUUUAUACAUCUCACUCAAUCUGCCAUUAUAAGGUAAGAGAAUAUAUGUGAAGGAUUGAACCAUAGUGAAUCAGUAUCUUGAACUAAAGAGCUCAGCAGCAUCCAAUAAACAUUUUACCUAUAAAUGUAUUUAAAAAAUAGCAAAUACGAAUGGCCCUCUCUUGUAGAAAUAUUUGUUUAGAGAAAAACAUACUAAUAUGUUUUCUCUAAAGGAUUUCUCUGUAUUUUCUAUUUCAUUUAAAAAUUGUAUUUGAACUUGCUAUGAUUGGUGUGAAAACUGAAAAACAGUCUAGCUCUUCAUUCACCGACGCUUGCAUGGCUAACGCUACUGUAAAUCAUCAAAAAGUUAUAUAUAUUUUUAUUUUACUUUAAGGCAUGAUUUGUUAUACUGAAUUACUGGGAUGGCUUCUUUUGUGUACAUUGGAAAUAAAAACUCAGGCCUCCCUAUUUUUAAGGUUAUUGUUAGUGGCAUAUAUAAAGCACCAUAGAAUAAUAUAUUCAGAUGAAGAAAACACAGAACAUUUAUGAGCUUUGAAUUAGCUGUCUAGGAGUAACUGCUAAGAAAAUAUAGCAAUAUUUAACACAGGAUUCAAAAUACUGUUAUUUAUCAAUAUAGAUUUUCAAAUGGAUUCUUCUCCCAUGUUUAAAGUUUUUUUCAUUAAAAUUUAUAUGUAAUUUAAAGUUUUUUGGUGGGAAGCAGGAUAUAUCUUCUGUACAAGAAUGUUACAGCUUUAUACAAAUUUUAGCAAUGAUAAGAAAUGGUCUUUAGCAUUCUCUUCCAAGUGCUGUGGUUUCACUUGCCUGUUUUAUAGUCUACUUGAUUCAAACGACAGCAAAUACUCUGAAUGCCUUGCUUCCUGGAGGAUUCUGUAAACUUUCUGAAAAUAUGCCAUUUUGGAAGGAAGCAAUGUACACCUUUCUUUUGUCUACUGGCAUAACAUCAACAUAACCACCCUCGUUGCGUACUACGCCAGCAUGUACAGCUGCCCGACAGAUACUGGAUAUAUCAGAAUAAAUUCGUGUUCCAAUGACUCGAGCGUAAUGUGGAUUUGCCUGCAUACAGUUGUGAGGACAAUACACUCUUGGGCAGUGUGAAGCUGGUUUUUGAAAUGGGCACAAUUGUUCCACUGUUGUUUCACAGGUGAUAGCUUGAACUGUUACUUUAGAGACUGUGAAGGAAUUAGCAGAUUGGUAUUUUCCAAUUGAUUGAAUGCCAUUCCUGUAAGAUUUGAUAAAGUAAUUUUUUCUUCCUUGCCUAGUGACAUCAACCCAACCACCUUCAUUGUCUAGGAUUCCAUAAUGUAUGGCAGCUUUACAGAUACUGGAUUGCAUUUCAUAAUGUACACUUCCAAUAACUUUGGCUUUGCUAUCCAAACAGCCAGCAGGACAUUCAUACCUAUUGCAAGUUGUUCCUUUGCACUGAUCUCUUAACCUUACUUCACAUGAAACAAUCUGAGACAUUUGCUGUGUGCUUAUUAAUUCAUUUUUCUCACUGUCCUCACUGCCUGUGGAGCCUGAAGGUGAAUGAGUUCUUGGUCGGCUUUGUGCUGUUGCAUCUUGGGCUUUGGAUCGUUGCCGUUCAAUCUCAUUGGUUUCCUCUUCUGGCUCAUGAGGAGAAUAAGGCCUUUCUGAGCCUUCUCUAUAACAAAGAUUUUCUCUGCAACCUCCUCCAAAACUAGGGGGACAUGCAGAACAAGGACGGCCAGGCUUAUAAGGAGCAUGACCCCACCAGUUACCCUUAGGAGAAUAAUUGCAUACAAGAUAGACUGCUUUUGGCCAAAUCUGUCCCCAGAUGUUCAUGUUAUGACACAAAUUAAUUGCACAACCUAUUCUGCUACUUGUAGCCCAAACAACCUGUGUAUAAUGUGUACAAACAGGACCAGAGCAUUUGUAAGGACAAUAUGGGUUGCAUUCAUGAGGAUGUGGGUACGUGAAAUCUCUCACUUCAUCAUACCAUGCUUGGACAUGAAAUGUUGGAGGUCUGUACCUUCCCCAGUGUGCCCCCAAAUUCUGUCCAAUGGAUGGAAGGAGGCUUGCAGGCCCAUGCUCCCACAGACAUGUUUCAGCCCAUGAUUCUGCAGAUCUUUCCAGUUCUGUAUCCCAUGUCAUAUAUUCCAUAUUGGAAGCUGGUGGAUACACCUGACCCCGUAAUUUAUUAUGAAGAUCCAAGAUACUUUGCAUAUCACUGUCUGUGAUAGCCCUUUUCCCUCUCUGCUUGGCGAUCCACCACUCACCAUCUUCAUCCAUGUAUUUUUCCAAAAGUUCCUCUAAGAGCGUGGCAUUGGGAAGAACCAUUGCAGAAACUGCUUGAGCUAUGAAUAGCAAGGUAGUUAUUCUGAGCCAUUCCUGCACUACAUACUUCAUGAUGAACGAUCUCAGAAUGCUCAGGGGUUAGCUCCAAGACAAAGUCUUUUUUCCAGGUCUGUUGGCCUCUGGCGCCGGCUGCCUCCUCUCUCUGCAGCCAGCUUCGCUCAGCCGCCCACUGCCUCGCCAGGCCCUCGCCGGCCUCGGGGGGCUGGAGAGGGGGCCCGGGCACGGCCUCGCCCCAGCGGUGGUUGCCGGGUUGCGAACGAGUCGUGCCGGCGAGGGGGGGUGUCGCCGAGCGCGCUGCCGCCCCUGGGAGCUCCACGCUUCUUCCUCCCGACUCCCGCCUCGGCGGGCAUUUAUCGCGGGCGGCGGUGACGUGAGGCGGCCACCCCUCCCGGCACCCCGCGGGGCGGGCCGCGAUUCGGGCUCCGGGCUCCGGCCCCCGGGCCCGCGGCCGCCCCCGCUCACCGCACCGCCCGUCCUCACCUGGACGGCCGCGAGCUCUGCCGCCCGCCAAAAGCUGGCCUGGCUCCUGCCUAAGUUGUGGCCCAGAAAAGGUCGAAAGUGGGCCCUGCUCCCCUGCCACCUCCAUCCGUGGGCAGCUGAGAGGAUGCUGAGCAGUUGCUUGGCUUCAUCAAAGCCAAAAAGCGGGGUGAUCAGCUUCCAAAAGCCCAGACCGUGUGAAUGCAGCAAGAGGUAUCGGGGCAGGAAUUUUGAAUUGUGGGUUCAGACCAGCUGCAUGAAGCUUUGCUUCACAAAGUAGAAUGGAAAAGCUUGUAACAACUACAUUUUCCAGCAAAAUCUCCUCCAGUAUUGGAAGUAAACUUUUGCAUUACAUUUACAUCAAAGUCCUAUAGCUUGAUUAUUAUUUUUUAUCCAAACCACUAGAGACAAUGUUUCACUUAUUUAGUAUAAUUUGGUGCCCUGAGCUAACAGUGGGAUUGACCAGCUUCCAGUCUUCACAGGACUGCUGUACCAGCUCGC